GAAUUUAAUAUAAUAUUUAAUAUUUUAAGAUAGUUAUUAUUAUAUAUUAUAUUUUAUUGGGAGGAUAGUUAAAUUUAUUAAACUUUAAAUUGUAUAAAAACAUAAAUUAUUGAAUAAAAGAAUAAUUUUUUAAGUUUUAUUUAUUAAAUUAUUGAAAAAUUAAUUACCUUAGGGAUAACAGCGUAAUAUUUUUAGAAAGAUCAUAUUAAUAUAAAUGAUUGC
rnacentral:rRNA from 1 species